rnacentral:hammerhead_ribozyme from 1 species
GCACUGCUGAGGAGUCCCACAAUAGGAUGAAAUGGUCGUCCAGUAC